rfam:Microvirga sp. V5/3M plasmid unnamed1, complete sequence.
GAGGGUUGGCCCCUCGAGGUCCGCAGUCAGGUGCCGGCCUCAAACGGCUCCGUUGCAUUAACCUCGGCCGUAUAACGAGGAGCG